UCAUAAAUUUAAUUAUUAUUAUUAUUUAUUUAAAAUAUUAUUUUAUUUAUUAUUAAAUAAGAAAAAUUUAAUUUUAUUAUAGUUUACUAGUAAAGUGAUUGAAUUUUUUUCUAUUAUAAAAAGAAAAAUUUAUUUUUUGUACCUUGUGUAUCAGGGUUGAUUUAUUUUAUUAUUAUUAUUAAUUUUUUUUGAAUUAAGAAGAGCUAAUUAUGUAUAUGUUUAAUUUUUUCAUAAAUUUUCUUUAUACAUAGUUUGAAAUGAAAUGUUAUUCGUUUCUUAAUAUAUCUAGUUUUUUAAGAAAAGAAUUUAAUUCUCUUAUUAUUUGUUAUUAGUUAAUUUUUAGUUAAUAAUUUUUAGUAUGAAAGAAAUAAAGGGAUAAGCUUUUAUUUUUAUAAUUAAAAAUUUUUUUUAUUUAUAUUUUUUGUAUAAUUUAAAUUGUUAAUCAUUUAAAUAAUUUAAUAGUUAAUUUUAUUAAAUCAAUAAUUUAUAUUUAUUUUAAUUUUUAUAUUAAAAAUUUGUGUUUAAUUUUUUAACUUUUUUUUAAUGAUUAAAUUAGUAGAUAAAUAUGUAUUUUGUAGUAAAAUUUUAAGGUAAUAAAAAGGAACUCGGCAAAUUAAUUUUUCGCCUGUUUAUUAAAAACAUGUCUUUUUGAUUAUAAUUUAAGGUUUAAUCUGCUCAAUGAUUUAUUAAAUUGCCGCAGUAUUUUGACUGUGCAAAGGUAGCAUAAUAAUUAGCUUUUUUAUUGAAAGCUGGAAUGAAUGAUUGGACGAGAAAAUUUCUGUCUCUUUAUUAUUUUUAUUUAAUUUAACUUUUAAGUUAAAAGGCUUAAAUUUAUUUAAAAGACGAGAAGACCCUAUAGAGUUUUAUUUUUAUUUUAUAAAUUAUUUUUAGAAUUUAAAAUAUAUUAUAAGAUAAAGAAUUUAGUUGGGGUGACUAAAAGAUUAAUUUAACUCUUUUAAUUAAAAUCAUUUAUUUAUGAAUAUAAAAUCUAUUUUUAUAAGUUUAAAAUAAAUUACCUUAGGGAUAACAGCGUUAUUUUUCUUUAGAGUUCUUAUUAAAAGGAAAGAUUGCGACCUCGAUGUUGGAUUAAAAUUUAUUUUAGGUGUAGAAGCUUAAUAAUUGAGUCUGUUCGACUUUUAAAAUUUUACAUGAUCUGAGUUUAAACCGGUGUGAGCCAGGUUGGUUUCUAUCUUUAAAUUUUUAAUAUAUUUUAGUACGAAAGGACCAAAUAUAUAAUAAAUUAUUUUUUUUUGAAUAAUAUU
rnacentral:rRNA from 1 species